UACGUAGGGGCCGAGCGUUGUCCGGAGUUAUUGGGCGUAAAGCGCGCGCAGGCGGCUUCGCGCGCCCGCCGUGAAAGCCCCCGGCUUAACCGGGGAGAGUCGGUGGGGACGGCGGAGCUUGAGGGCGGGAGAGGUCGGUGGAAUUCCCGGUGUAGUGGUGGAAUGCGUAGAGAUCGGGAGGAACACCUGUGGCGAAGGCGGCCGACUGGGCCGACCCUGACGCUGAGGCGCGAAGGCGUGGGGAGCAAACAGG
rnacentral:rRNA from 1 species